CACGUAGGGCGCAAGCGUUGUCCGGAAUUACUGGGCGUAAAGGGCUCGUAGGCGGCCAACUAAGUCAGACGUGAAAUCCCUCGGCUUAACCGGGGAACUGCGUCUGAUACUGGAUGGCUUGAAUCCGGGAGAGGGAUGCGGAAUUCCAGGUGUAGCGGUGAAAUGCGUAGAUAUCUGGAGGAACACCGGUGGCGAAGGCGGCAUCCUGGACCGGCAUUGACGCUGAGGAGCGAAAGCCAGGGGAGCAAACGGG
rnacentral:rRNA from 1 species